GGUAGCAGGGCACUGGCAAACUGCCAGGCCAAAGGUUUUCCCAAGGUAAAACGGGAUGUGAGAGCGAUCCCAGCCCGGCUCAGGCAGACACCAAGUUGGGAAGCAGGGGCCAAAGGGGCGGAGGGCGCAAAUGACCCGGUUGUGCCGAGGACCCCGCCGCAGUCGCCGGGCUGGGUGCUGAGCGGCCGCGCUACCCCAGAGCCGUCACUGGAGAUGUGGGUACAACGAUGACUACUGGGCGCGAGUCAGCUGAGGGGGUGUCUCCGAAGGGACACUUUGAGGAGACAGUUGGGGUGGAUCUGGGGUGACGCCCAAAAGGAUGGUUGGUCCUGGGUGUUUGAGGGUUCGGUGGAUGGCAGAGCUGAAGGGCCAGGACAGGACUGAAGACGAGGUCGGUCCAGAAGGUCGAGGAAGACCGAAGGUUUCUUAAAGAAAAAGAUGUAGGAUGAGCCAAAUGGUCCCGUGACCUCUCCCUGUUCCUGAGAAGCUGUAGAUGAGGAACAAGUAUAAGCCUAUGGCUUCCCUGGUGGCGCCGUGGUUGAGAGUCCGCCUGCCGAUGCAGGGGACACGGCUUCGUGCCCUGGUCCGGGAAGAUCCCACAUGCCGCGGAGCAGCUGGGCCCGUGAACCAUGGCCGCUGAGCCUGCGCGUCCGGAGCCUGCGCUCUGCAACGGGAGAGGCCACAACAACCAUUGAUAUUUUAUCUUCCCGAUCCUCCAAAGACAGAUAGGCUUCACUGUGCUUCCUGCUCCAGUCCUGGAAGAAUGCAUUGUCCAAUUCUCGAUGAAUAUUGAGAUCAAACUUUCAUCUUCUAAAAAUUCCUGUGGGACUUUUAGAUUGGAUUCCUUCAAUUUGUAGAUUAAUUUGGAGAGAAUGGACAUAUUUUCAACAACAAAAAUUUCCACCAUCCAUUCUAUAAAUAUAUAUUAAGUACCUAAGCACCUUCUUUGUGCCAGUCAUUGUUCUAGCACUUGACAUACAUCAGUGAACAAAACAAAGAAUCCUGUUUUUGUGGAGCUUACCUUUUAUGUCAGGCCUCAGCCUGUGAAGUGGGAGAGGCAAGUUCAGGACAUUGGGCCACCAGAGACCUCCCAGCUCCACAUACUAUCAAAUGGUGAAAGCUCUCUCAGAGAUCUCCAUCUCAACGCUAAGACCCAGCUCUACUCAACCACCAGAAAGCUACAGUGCUGGACACCCUAUGCCAAACAAUUAACAAGACAGGAACACAACCCUACCCAUUAGCAGAGAGGCUGCCUAAAAUCAUAAUAAGGUAGCAGACACCCCAUAACACACCACAGGACACAGUCCUGUCCACCAGAAAGACAAGACCCAGCCUCAUCCACCAGAAAG